CAGUAGCCGCGGGAAAACGUAGGGUGCGAGCGUUAAUCGGAAUUACUGGGCGUAAAGCGUGCGCAGGCGGUUGUGUAAGACAGAUGUGAAAUCCCCGGGCUUAACCUGGGAACUGCAUUUGUGACUGGCGGGCUAGAGUAUGGCAGAGGGGGGUAGAAUUCCACGUGUAGCAGUGAAAUGCGUAGAGAUGUGGAGGAAUACCGAUGGCGAAGGCAGCCCCCUGGGCCAAUACUGACGCCCAUGCACGAAAGCGUGGGGAGCAAACAGGAUUAGAUACCCCGGUAGUCCCUGUCUCUUAUCC
rnacentral:rRNA from 1 species